rnacentral:rRNA from 1 species
GAACGCUGGCGGCGUGCUUAACACAUGCAAGUCGAACGAACCUUCGGGUUAGUGGCGGACGGGUGAGUAACGCGUGGGAAUCUGCCCUCAGGAGGGGGAUAACGGUUGGAAACGACCGCUAAUACCCCAUAUGCCGAGAGGUGAAACGAAAUUCGCCUGAGGAUGAGCCCGCGUCUGAUUAGCUAGUUGGUGGGGUAAAGGCCUACCAAGGCAUCGAUCGGUAGCUGGUCUGAGAGGAUGAUCAGCCACACUGGGACUGAGACACGGCCCAGACUCCUACGGGAGGCAGCAGUGGGGAAUUUUCCGCAAUGGGCGCUAGCCUGACGGAGCAACGCCGCGUGAGGGAUGAAGGC